AGAGUUUGAUCCUGGCUCAGGAUGAACGCUAGCGGGAGGCUUAACACAUGCAAGUCGAGGGGCAUCACGAGGUAGCAAUACUUUGGUGGCGACCGGCAGACGGGUGAGUAACGCGUAUGCAACCUACCCUGUACAGGGGGAUAACCCGGAGAAAUUCGGACUAAUAUCCCAUAAUAUUAUUUGGAGGCAUCUUCGGAUAAUUAAAGUUCCGGCGGUACGGGAUGAGCUUGCGUACCAUUAGGUAGUUGGUGAGGUAACGGCUCACCAAGCCGACGAUCAGUAGGGGUUCUGAGAGGAUUACCCCCCACACUGGUACUGAGACACGGACCAGACUCCUACGGGAGGCAGCAGUGAGGAAUAUUGGUCAAUGGCCGGAAGGCUGAACCAGCCAUCCCGCGUGCAGGAUGACGGCCCUAUGGGUUGUAAACUGCUUUUGUACACCAAGAAAAACUACCACGUGAUCUUGAACUGACGGUACCUUACCAGAAAGCCACGGCUAACUCCGUGCCAGCAGCCGCGGUAAUACGGAGGAUGCAAGCGUUAUCCGGAUUCAUUGGGUUUAAAGGGUGCGUAGGCGGUUUAUUAAGUCAGUGGUGAAAGCCUGCAGCUUAACUGCAGAACUGCCAUUGAUACUGCCAGUCUGGAGUAUGGUUGAGGUAGCUGGAAUGUGUCAUGUAGCGGUGAAAUGCUUAGAGAUGACACAGAACACCGACGGCGAAGGCAGGUUACCAACCCAUUACUGACGCUGAGGCACGAAAGCGUGGGGAUCGAACAGGAUUAGAUACCCUGGUAGUCCACGCCGUAAACGAUGCUCACUCGCUGUUUGCGAUACACAGCAAGCGGCCAAGCGAAAGCAUUAAGUGAGCCACCUGGGGAGUACGAUCGCAAGGUUGAAACUCAAAGGAAUUGACGGGGGCCCGCACAAGCGGAGGAACAUGUGGUUUAAUUCGAUGAUACGCGAGGAACCUUACCUGGGCUUAAAUGUAGAGCGACAGAUUGUGAAAGGUAUAAGCCAGCAAUGGCCGUAUACGAGGUGCUGCAUGGUUGUCGUCAGCUCGUGCCGUGAGGUGUCGGGUUAAGUCCCAUAACGAGCGCAACCCUUAUCGUUAGUUGCCAGCGGGUAAUGCCGGGGACUCUAGCGAAACUGCCACCGUAAGGUGAGAGGAAGGUGGGGAUGACGUCAAAUCAGCACGGCCCUUAUGUCCAGGGCUACACACGUGUUACAAUGGUCGGUACAGAGGGCAGCUACCUGGUGACAGGAUGCUAAUCUCGAAAACCGGUCUCAGUUCGGAUCGAAGUCUGCAACUCGACUUCGUGAAGCUGGAUUCGCUAGUAAUCGCGCAUCAGCCAUGGCGCGGUGAAUACGUUCCCGGGCCUUGUACACACCGCCCGUCAAGCCAUGGAAGCUGGGGGUGCCUGAAGUCCGUAACCGUAAGGAGCGGCCUAGGGUAAAACUAGUGACUGGGGCUAAGUCGUAACAAGGUAACC
rnacentral:rRNA from 1 species